rnacentral:rRNA from 1 species
GGACGAACGCUGGCGGCGUGCCUAGUACAUGCAAGUAGAACGCACAGUUUAUACCGUAGCUUGCUACACCAUAGACUGUGAGUUGCGAACGGGUGAGUAACGCGUAGGUAACCUGCCUGGUAGCGGGGGAUAACUAUUGGAAACGAUAGCUAAUACCGCAUAAUAUUGAUUAUUGCAUGAUAAUUGAUUGAAAGAUGCUAUUGCAUCACUACCAGAUGGACCUGCGUUGUAUUAGCUAGUAGGGGAGGUAACGGCUCACCUAGGCGACGAUACAUAGCCGACCUGAGAGGGUGGUCGGCCACACUGGGACUGAGACACGGCCCAGACUCCUACGGGAGGCAGCAGUAGGGAAUCUUCGGCAAUGGACGAAAGUCUGACCGAGCAACGCCGCGUGAGUGAAGAAGGUUUUCGGAUCGUAAAGCUCUGUUGUAAGAGAAGAACGGGUGUGAGAGUGGAAAGUUCACACUGUGACGGUAUCUUACCAGAAAGGGACGGCUAACUACGUG